rnacentral:ncRNA from 1 species
GAAAGUUAGAGGUUCGAAGGCGAUCAGAUACCGCCCUAGUUCUAACGGUAAACUAUGCCAACCAGCGAUUCGCCGAAGUUCAUUUAAGACUCGGCGAGCAGCUUCCGGGAAACCAAAGUGUUUCGGU